rnacentral:rRNA from 1 species
GACGGAGGGGGCAAGCGUUGUUCGGAAUCAUUGGGCGUAAAGGGCUCGUAGGCGGACUAGUAAGUCUGGCGUGAAAUCUCCACCGCUCACCGGGGAGAGGUCGCUGGAUACUGCUAGUCUUGAGUUCGGUAGAGGGUCGUGGAAUUUCGGGUGUAGCGGUGGAAUGCGUAGAUAUCCGAAAAGAACACCGGUGGCGAAGGCGGCGACCUGGGCCUGAACUGACGCUGAGGCACGAAAGCGUGGGGA